UACAGAGGUCUCAAGCGUUGUUCGGAUUCAUUGGGCGUAAAGGGUGCGUAGGCGGCGGGGCAAGUCGGAUGUGAAAUCUCAGGGCUCAACCCUGAAACUGCAUUCGAUACUGCUCUGCUCGAGGACUGGAGAGGAGACUGGAAUUCCUGGUGUAGCGGUGAAAUGCGCAGAUAUCAGGAGGAACACCGGUGGCGAAGGCGGGUCUCUGGGCCGAUACUGACGCUGAGGAGCGAAAGCCAGGGGAGCAAACGGG
rnacentral:rRNA from 1 species